rnacentral:lncRNA from 1 species
AACCUAUGUCUCCUGUCUGAUGGAGAUACAGCUGCACACCCAUGGGUGGUGUGAAAAAGAAGUUGCUGCAAGGAAGCCUCACCAUGCCAACAGACCAUGGACCCUUCUGUGCAAUCUUUACGCUUUUGUGUAAGAGGCAGUGACAGAGCUGGAAGAAGAACACAGGUCAGCCGAACCCUCUUCUGGGUUGUGCUGUCCCUCAUAAAUCACUGUGGCUGUCCUGGUGUCAAAAUGCGUAGGUGAGCAUAAUGCAGACCUUUUGCCACAUUUCAUAUGAAUGUUGGUCUUCGUUACGAUGGAUAUGAAGAAAAAGCACAGGAAAUAUCCCUGCCCACCUAUGAAUGUCCUAAUCGCCCACUUAUUUGCAGUUCUCUACUCAGAAUGAGCCAAAUUCCUGAACCUGCAUUUCAGCAGCGCCUUGCUUCGCUAGAUUCACUUAGUAUUGUUUGUAGCUUAAAGAGCUCUGUGUGAAUUGGUAAGUGUGAAUGCUGACAUCUGUGAGAUUUAAGGAUCGGACUGAGAGGCACAUAGCAGGCCUUUACUAAGACAGAAAAUACUGUUGAUUAGCACUGGUUCUUUUUGCAAGUACAAAGUAUGAGCAGUUGCCUAUGUGUUAUCUCCCUGAAGAGUGACUUGUCCACCCAGUGCUCUCUGUAGUAGUUAAUUAGAGAUUACUCAAGGUUAUAUUAUAAUGACAGAGAACAUAAUUUUGACUGUACAGUGCCCAGGUUGGCCUUGUAGAUGCUGGUGGUUUUCUGAUUAUAAUUCUGGUUCACAGUAAACACUCUCAACUAGAACUUGUCAAGAACAUACCUCCGACUUAGUGCUGGAUUUCUUCCCCUCCUCGAUCCCACACCACCAUUUUCUUCCUUACUUUCUGUUAACUGCAGGAUAGCAUAAACAUAUGGUGCUUAAUUGUUAAGGUGUAUGUAUGGUCACGUUUGGAGAGGAACUGUCAUAUGUAUUCAUAGCACAGAAAAAACAACAACAUUAUCCUCAGAUAACAAAUUCAAUGCCUUUUUUUGUGCAAGGCAGUGUGCAGUAUGCCUUGAACUUAGUAGAAUUGUAAUGCAUCGACAUCUCUCAGCAGCACACUUGAUUUGGUUGCAGUAGGGAACGACAGGAAUUCCAGAAUGUGUCUGUGAACGUGUUAGUCUCUUGUUCCCAGUAGGCAGCCAGGUUUCUGGUGGCAUCCACACUACGCUGCUUAUUAUGUAAAGAAAAGCCAGUUCACCAAAAACUCUUGCCUUUAUGGACUCUUAAGUAAGUGACCACGUACAGGAUUCAGCCCUCUACUGCCUUAUCCCCUGUAGCAAUUCGUGCUUAUACCAGGACUACAUAGCAUAGCUGGAAGAUGCUCCGAGAACAGCGCAGAAGCAUUUUGCAUCAACUUCUGCAUAUCCGAGUUUUUGAUGACUGCAUAAAGACAUGAAGCAGUCAGAGAGCAGGCCCAGGAGAUAACGGCGUUAACCCUAACCUUGUGCUGGCCGUACCUGCCCCACUGGAGCUCUUGAGGCCGAGAUUUCUCUGCAUCGUAGAGAAGUUGUCUUGAAAACUGCCCCUCUUCAUCCCCACAUGGAGAGUGCAGUAUGAAGGAGCAACCAGAAAUUAGGUUAAAACACCACACUGUGUAACACAUUAUACAACAGGCAGAAGUGGAGUUCAUCUGGUGUUAAUGACGUACUGUAUUAGCAGAAUACCAUCCUGUGUUACGUAAUGCAGUGCAUUGUUUUGUUAAUAUGAAUUUCCUGUACUUAUAUGCCUGCUGAAAUGCAUGUUUGACCUAAUUUCUGAUCCAGCCAUUUACCUGCUUACAGCCUCGUGUAAGAGCAAUAAGGAAAACCUCAAGAUUUCUGUUGGCGUGUGCGGUGUGUACAUUAAUUCCUUCUUUUUAACAGAAAUUCAGGAGCUGUUUUUGUUCUGGCUUUAGACUGUGACUCUCAUUUCAAAUUUGCAGCCGCCGCAUCGUGUCGGAUCACCUCACGGAUCUGCUGACUUACACAGAAGAGAACUGAGUAGUUUGUUGUCAUGUGCGGUGUUAAUAACGUUCCUCCAGUAUGUCAAUAGUCACCCUGCGUUCCACGGUCCAAUUCCUGGCACUGAUAGGUGAUACUGCUCUAAACAGGGUUUGGAUCAGUUUUGUUCUUUUUUUUGUUUUUUUAAAAAAGCAUCCUUGUCUUUGUGUGUUUUCUCUGUGGAGACGUUUGGACUUGCGUGAAAAUCACUGAGUUCUGGGCUAAUUUUUGUUGCCUGCUGUCCGGUGAGAAGUCAAAAGUCACUGCUGAGUUCCACCAAACAAAAAAGAGACUUAGCUGUGUCGCCAGUGCUGUCUGAGCAGCCAAAAAUUAGACUGAAAGUGGUUGUGGGAAAUUACAAACGCACCUGCAUUUUUAGAGCAAAUUACUCCUUGAAUGUGUAUUUAAUGGCUUGUUUAAUGGGAAGGACGUGUGCAUUGGGAUCCAGCUUCUUUGUUAUCCCUGAAGGCCCCGACUUCCAUUUUUGGCUUGUGCUUUCCUGGCAAACAGACUUUAGGAUUCACUCUGUGAAAUGUGGUUCAGUGAAUUUUAAAAAUUCAAAAUAUGCAAUUUUGGUAUGCGGGAUUUCUUUUAGGAAACGGUGUUCAGUAAUUCUUCAUGCUUAACCACGAUGUAAAGGAGCCUGAAUGUUUUGUGAACAUGGAGCAAUCGUUGAGUCCAAAGUUUCAUCUUUAUUAAUGAAGCUCGGUCUGAAUAAAACAUUAGCAGGAAAAGAAUGAUAUCAAAUGAAUUAUGGUACCUCUGUUACUUUGCUAUCAAAUGAAGAGCGUGGAUGGGAAUUUGGCAGAGUUGCUGGUUUUUUUAUGAGGGGUUGGCUGAAAUUCGAUUCUUGGCGUUUUAAGGCAAAGCGUUAAGUGUGGGUUGUAGUAAAUGAUAAAAGGAUUUUCACAUUUAAUUGCCAUGGAAUAUGAAAUUAGAGCUGAAGACUACUAAGCCUAUGCGGCAGAUUUUUCUGUCUGCUUAAUCAGAUGAUUUAAAAGUUUUAAGUACGCUUUGUGCUCACGGAAGUGAGGGGCUGUUGGCCUUGACUUGACAUGCGUUGCACCAAUGGCCUGGCUCUGCCCUCCCAGUAGUCAUAAUGCCAUGAGCCCUGGGCUGCCUUUCUCAUACAUCUUCUGGAACAAGGAUGGCUGGCUUUGGACUGGUUUCGGUACGUUCAUAAUGGGGCUAAAAUGAAAGAAAAGAAUGAAUACCCAAUUUCCUUAUCCUAGUUGCGCAUAAAGCGUGGCUUCAGAGUCAUCUUUUUCCAGACUUAGAUUUCUGUGUUUGGAUGAGGGGCAAAGCAGGGAUGGAGGGAAGAAGAGAUUGCAUGGGAGCAGCUGAGUUCCGGUGUCAUCCAGGAGACUGCUGAAGUAUCAGCUGGCCCUGGAGGCAACGUUUUUGUGCAAGAGCUUCAGCAGGGUGAGAUGGCCUGGCAGUGCUGCAGUGGAUUCACAGCAUGUUUUAGUGACCUUUCCCAUGCUGUAUGCUGUCCGUGGGCCUGACAGCUGGGGCUGUUCUGUUCUUUCUCUUUGUCACUUUGCCUCUUGCAUGCUCGUGUCAACAAACAAAGCUGCUUGCUUCAUCCUUAAGUCGAAUGAUUUUGCACAUGUUUCUGAAGUUGCCUUGGGCAUCUUUAAUGAAAAAAGUUACCUUUGAAGUUCAGUGAAAUUUAAGGCUUAAUAAAUGUGUUCCUUUUUUUUUCAAGUGUUUUCUUAUGCUUCAAUACAUUUCUCAUUUUAGCUCCAAGUAAAUCCUAUAAUUUUUGUGCUAACAAGUUCCUGUAUGUCUAAAGCAAUUCACAGAGACUAGGUAAGAUCCACAGCCAGAAAAAAUACUUCCUAUCCUUCCCACAGUCCCCUUCAGAUCCCUCCUGUUUUCCCCCUCCUCAUUUGUACCAUCCUGAGGCACCUAAUCAUGGUAGUGAGAUUGGGACUUGCAGGAAUGCAGUGAGCCCCUGCAAGUAUGAGCAUGGAGACGUGUUGCCAUGCUCAGGGGAGGAGGGUAAGCACACAGCACAUGCUCUUGUGUAAUAGAGGCCAAGAGGAUUAGAAAAAGGGCUCCGGGCACUUACAGCUCUGGAAGGUCAUGUACUUUAUGGUGCUGAGAUAGAUAGCAUGAUAGCACAAAAGCCAGGUAUUGCUGCCUGGUUUUUGCAUGAGUUGAGUGCAGCUCCCUUUGAACUGCCUUGUGCAGACAGAAACCUUGUGCUGCUGCAUAGGACCAGCUGCUCCAGAGGCAACACCUUGUAUGGGGCUCCCGUGAGGAGCCACAUCAUUGCUUUGUGCCUCCAAGCUGGGGUGUCACAGAACAGCUAGAUGCCUGGGUUUUUACUCCAGUGUGGGUUAUAAAUUCAAUUGAAGUUCAUUUGUAACACCUUCGUAAAGCGUUCCUGAAAGCUUGAAGGCAACACAAGAGGCUUCACCUCAUCAGGCUCAAGGGCAGGAAGAAAGGGCACAGAAGGAGGAGGG